AGCUUGCUCUUGAUGACGAGUGGCGCACGGGUGAGUAACGCGUAUGCAAUCUACCUAUAACUGAGGAAUAGCCCAGAGAAAUUUGGAUUAAUACUUCAUAAUAUUAUUAUUUGGCAUCAUUUAAUAAUUAAAACUCCGGUGGUUAUAGAUGAGCAUGCGUUCUAUUAGCUAGUUGGUGAGGUAAGAGCUCACCAAGGCUACGAUAGAUAGGGGGCCUGAAAGGGUGAUCCCCCACACUGGUACUGAGACACGGACCAGACUCCUACGGGAGGCAGCAGUGAGGAAUAUUGCACAAUGGAGGAAACUCUGAUGCAGCCAUGCCGCGUGCAGGAUGAAGGCCCUAUGGGUUGUAAACUGCUUUUUUACAAGAAGAAACCUUGGUACGUGUACCAACUUGACGGUAUUGUAAGAAUAAGCACCGGCUAACUCCGUGCCAGCAGCCGCGGUAAUACGGAGGGUGCAAGCGUUAUCCGGAUUUAUUAGGUUUAAAGGGUUCGCAGGCGGAAUUUUAAGUCAGUGGUGAAAGCCUACAGCUCAACUGUAGAACUGCCAUUGA
rnacentral:rRNA from 1 species